CCUGCAGUAAUUGUACAAGAACAAUGCACUGAUGCUGGCCGCUUUUGGGGCGUGAAGUCACUGCCGGGUGCGGGAGGGAGGACGCGGCACACAGAGGCUAACAAAGCUAAUUGGAUUAAACGUCCUCCAUCCGACAUGAAGCCGCACCCGUGCAUGCACCUGCUGAGCUGACACGCCAUCUGGGCGGGGCCCUGCAAGCUCAUUGGUCGGCGUGCGGAUAGGCUGUUGUGAUGGCGUGCCAAGGCGAGCAGGAAAAUACGCAUGGCGUGUAAGAGGUGUGAAAAUGCUGAGGUUUGAUGGCCAGCGUCAGUCAUCCUGAUGCUUCAUACCUUGUUGAAGCUGGGCAGCGGGGCGCCUUCGGGGGGGCUGUGGAAGUUGACAGGCUCCUCCUCCUGGAUGGACACCUGCACGGGCUGCAGGGUGGGGCUCAGGGUGCCCCAGGUGGGGCUCGUGGUGGAGGAUGGCGAUGGCGAGUCAGGCUGUUGGUUGACAUCUGCGGCGCUCUUGGGUGAAGGCAGCAAGGUGGUGGGUGACAAAGCCAGGUUGGCCUACAAGGAGUGAAGAACGUUUACGGGUGCCACAGCUGUUCAUCAUCACGCCAGGACCCCAGAGGACGUCUCUCUCGUCACUGUGCGUUGCGACCGUGAGGGGUUUUGCUCCUGGCGUCGGUUCUCAUGCCGUGCUUCGCUUGAGCUGCUCUUUGUUUUUAUGGACCGCCAUUUCCGAGGCAUGACCUCACCUCCUCACGGCCGCCGCCCGAACAGAUGACAUCAGCAUAUGGGACGCCCACGCCCUCCUUCCUCGUCCUAAACCACCAAGAACCCCCACCCGUUUUAACUGUGGUCCUCAGAUGCUAUUAAGAAUUGGUAGCCUAGCUACGUGAUGCUAAAGUGCUAACAUUAAAUCAUGCUAUGUCAGCAUAAAUGCUGAAGAAAAGAUGUGUAGUGAAGCCUGCCACCAUAAAGCGGUAGCAGGUUGAGAGUUAUUUGUUACAUAUGAGUAAAGCCUCUUCUGUGAGUCCAAUGGUUCCCAAGGUGGCACAUCCGGACAAAUAUUAUUUUUUCAAGGGCAUCGUUGACUUGUAAAAACUAUCCCGCUAUAAAGCUGUCCUGUAUGACGGCUAUCCGGUCAUCCCUCAUCUUUUGGUAGUUAGAGCAUAAAAACCUACUGAUGACCUUCUAUCAACACGUACGACCUUGAACAUGUUGCCAUCCCACACGGGUGUACUCUGAACAACAGCCAUAUUAGGUCAUCGGCCGCAUGUACUGUAUGUUGCUCUCACGCGGGACAAGCUGGGAAUCUGUGGGGCAAAGAGAGCGGGAAGGACUAUUUCUGGGGAUACAGGCCUGGGAAAAAGCCCCCCCCAAACCGAGCCUAGCGGAUGGAGCACAUCUGGAACAUAGUAAAGAAAAAAACCUGUAAGGCUGUAACAUCUAUACAAGGAAAGCUUGGGAAAACGCUCUGAGAAAGAGAAAGAAACAACAUCUAACAUCACAGCAUAUCAUAGCAGUUUGGGAUGUCAUGAUCCCAUCUACAGGAUCCGCUGUAUCUUUGAAGAGGGAGAACAUGCAAACUCCACACAGAGAUGGCAGCGGGUGGUCUUGAACUCACGUCUCCUAGCCGUGGGGGCCUGCACACUAACCACUCCGCUGUGCAUCCCCUUAAUAAUAUUCAUUUUACUUUAUUUUCAGUAAAAUUUGAUUUUUUUCCUCUUUUCGCUUGACAAAUAUUUCUGAUAAUAUAACAUAUAUACAU